rnacentral:rRNA from 1 species
UGGGGAAUAUUGCACAAUGGGCGCAAGCCUGAUGCAGCCAUGCCGCGUGUAUGAAGAAGGCCUUCGGGUUGUAAAGUACUUUCAGUCGGGAGGAAGGUGGUAAGGUUAAUAACCUUAUCAAUUGACGUUACCGACAGAAGAAGCACCGACUAACUCCGUGCCAGCAGCCGCGGUAAUACGGAGGGUGCAAGCGUUAAUCGGAAUUACUGGGCGUAAAGCGCACGCAGGCGGUUGAUUGAGUCAGAUGUGAAAUCCCCGGGCUUAACCCGGGAAUUGCAUCUGAUACUGGUCAGCUAGAGUCUUGUAGAGGGGGGUAGAAUUCCAUGUGUAGCGGUGAAAUGCGUAGAGAUGUGGAGGAAUACCGGUGGCGAAGGCGGCCCCCUGGACAAAGACUGACGCUCAGGUGCGAAAGCGUGGGGAGCAAACAGG